rnacentral:rRNA from 1 species
AAAUUGAAGAGUUUGAUCAUGGCUCAGAUUGAACGCUGGCGGCAGGCCUAACACAUGCAAGUCGAACGGUAACAGGAAACAGCUUGCUGUUUCGCUGACGAGUGGCGGACGGGUGAGUAAUGUCUGGGAAACUGCCUGAUGGAGGGGAUAACUACUGGAAACGGUAGCUAAUACCGCAUAACGUCGCAAGACCAAAGAGGGGGACCUUCCGGGCCUCUUGCCAUCGGAUGUGCCCAGAUGGGAUUAGCUAGUAGGUGGGGUAACGGCUCACCUAGGCGACGAUCCCUAGCUGGUCUGAGAGGAUGACCAGCCACACUGGAACUGAGACACGGUCCAGACUCCUACGGGAGGCAGCAGUGGGGAAUAUUGCACAAUGGGCGCAAGCCUGAUGCAGCCAUGCCGCGUGUAUGAAGAAGGCCUUCGGGUUGUAAAAGUACUUUCAGCGGGGAGGAAGGGAGUAAAGUUAAUACCUUUGCUCAUUGACGUUACCCGCAGAAGAAGCACCGGCUAACUCCGUGCCAGCAGCCGCGGUAAUACGGAGGGUGCAAGCGUUAAUCGGAAUUACUGGGCGUAAAGCGCACGCAGGCGGUUUGUUAAGUCAGAUGUGAAAUCCCCGGGCUCAACCUGGGAACUGCAUCUGAUACUGGCAAGCUUGAGUCUCGUAGAGGGGGUAGAAUUCAGGUGUAGCGGUGAAAUGCGUAGAGAUCUGGAGGAAUACCGGUGGCGAAGGCGGCCCCUGGACGAAGACUGACGCUCAGGUGCGAAAGCGUGGGGAGCAAACAGGAUUAGAUACCCUGGUAGUCCACGCCGUAAACGAUGUCGACUUGGAGGUUGUGCCCUUGAGGCGUGGCUUCCGGAGCUAACGCGUUAAGUCGACCGCCUGGGGAGUACGGCCGCAAGGUUAAAACUCAAAUGAAUUGACGGGGGCCCGCACAAGCGGUGGAGCAUGUGGUUUAAUUCGAUGCAACGCGAAGAACCUUACCUGGUCUUGACAUCCACGGAAGUUUUCAGAGAUGAGAAUGUGCCUUCGGGAACCGUGAGACAGGUGCUGCAUGGCUGUCGUCAGCUCGUGUUGUGAAAUGUUGGGUUAAGUCCCGCAACGAGCGCAACCCUUAUCCUUUGUUGCCAGCGGUCCGGCCGGGAACUCAAAGGAGACUGCCAGUGAUAAACUGGAGGAAGGUGGGGAUGACGUCAAGUCAUCAUGGCCCUCUACGACCAGGGCUACACACGUGCUACAAUGGCGCAUACAAAGAGAAGCGACCUCGCGAGAGCAAGCGGACCUCAUAAAGUGCGUCGUAGUCCGGAUUGGAGUCUGCAACUCGACUCCAUGAAGUCGGAAUCGCUAGUAAUCGUGGAUCAGAAUGCCACGGUGAAUACGUUCCCGGGCCUUGUACACACCGCCCGUCACACCAUGGGAGUGGGUUGCAAAAGAAUAGGUAGCUUAACCUUCGGGAGGGCGCUUACCACUUUGUGAUUCAUGACUGGGGUGAAGUCGUAACAAGGUAACCGUAGGGAACCUGCGGUUGGAUCACCUCCUUA